rnacentral:tRNA from 1 species
GGAGUGUGGCUCAGUGGCAGAGUGUAUACCUAGCUGCAAGAGGUUCUGGGUUCAAUUCCCAGCACCACCA